rnacentral:rRNA from 1 species
UACGGAAGGCAGCAGUGGGGAAUAUUGCACAAUGGGCGAAAGCCUGAUGCAGCUAUGCCGCGUGUAUGAAGAAGGCCUUAGGGUUGUAAAGUACUUUCAUCGGGGAGGAAAAAACAAAACUAAUAAUUUUAUUUCUUGACGUUACCCGAAAAAGAAGCACCGGCUAACUCCGUGCCAGCAGCCGCGGUAAUACGGAGGGUGCUAGCGUUAAUCAGAAUUACUGGGCGUAAAGAGCACGUAGGUGGUUUUUUUAAGUCAGAUGUGAAAUCCCCUGGGCUUAACCUAGGAACUGCAUUUUGAAACUGAAAUACUAGAGUAUCGUAGAGGGAGGUAGAAUUCUAGGUGUAGCGGUGAAAUGCGUAGAUAUCUGGAGGAAUACCUGUGGCGAAAGCGGCCUCCUAAACGAAUACUGACACUGAGGUGCGAAAGCGUGGGGAGCAAACGAGGAUUAGAUACC